UAUCACACUCUCCUCCACCCUUUCUCUCUCCUAGGUGAGUGGUACGUGUGUGUUUUUGUGUACGUGCAUUACUGACUAAUCUACUGUCCUCCCAACAGGAGCUCUAUAGAUGAGGAUGUUGGCCAGAUGGAUGAUGAGGACAUCAUGGUUCACAGCUUGGACGAGGACGAUGACACUUCCUCCUCCAACAAAGGGGAACCUGAGCAGCAUGGGGAGAGGGAGGCUGACAGUGGUGCCAAGGAGAGCAAGGUAGUCCACAUUGCAAGGGAGAUCAUGAGCUCCGAGAAUGUAUUGUCAACGUCCUGAAGCUUCUCCAUAUUAACUUCCGUGAUGCGGUGGCAAAGGUGUCUCAUCAAAAGUGGGAAGCCUAUUAUAGAGGUUCCAGAUCCUGUACUACCUUCCUCAGCUCUAUGAAUUGAACCAUGACCUGCUCAGAGAGCUGGAGGAGAGGGUCACACAAUGGUACCAGAAUUGUAAAAUUGGAAUUUGUAUAUUCUAGUUAUUA